ensembl:snoRNA U3 Small nucleolar RNA U3
AAGACUGUGCUUUCAGGGAUCAUGUCUAUAGUUUGCCACUAGAGAAGUUUUUUUGAACAUGUAGUAGGGCACCAGAAGCACAAGGAAGAGGCACAGCCUUCUCUCCUGAGCAUGAAUCUGGCUCUUGGUCUUGCUUUGUUCCAGCUACCAUUUGCCAUUGAUUAUGUCCUUCUCUUCCUUCCAGAAAGUAAAAGGGAGAGAAUGCAGUCUGAGUGGU